rnacentral:rRNA from 1 species
CGUAACACGUGAGCAACCUUCCGAAAUAUGGGGGAUAGCCGGCCUAACGGCCGAGUAAUACCGCAUACGCUCUCGAUGAGGCAUUUCAUUGAGAGGAAACCUCCGGGGUAUUUCGAGGGCUCGCGGCCUAUCAGCUAGUUGGCGAGGUAACGGCUCACCAAGGCAACGACGGGUAGCUGGUCUGAGAGGAUGGCCAGCCACAUUGGGACUGAGAUACGGCCCAG